rnacentral:lncRNA from 1 species
UUCAUUUGUAAUAUUGUACGGGGUGGUCGAGAAUAAGCAUGGGGUUUUAUUGUUUUUCAGCUGUUGAAUGGCCCUAGGUUCAUUGCCAUAUGCAGUAGCUUUAAGUGAUCCUGUAAGAAAUAGUCAAGUAAAGUCUUAGGACAUUCAUAGGUGGCUUGAAAUCCUUCACCUGAAAAAAUAUCUUUUCUUGGUACUGAAAGAAGGUUGCUUGUGGUGUAUCUUGGUUCAGUAGUCCAGAUGUCCAUGUUUUAAUGAAGAGGAAAGUGUUAUAAGCAAAAUAUUAAUGAGAACGCAAUUUCUAUCAGAACUUACCUUGGCCUGGUACUUGCUUAGUCAGAAGAAAACUAAACAUAGUUUACCAAAGAAGAAGAUGUUCAUUGUUUCAUGCAUUUUCCGAUUUGCUCUUACCAUUUGGCUUCAUAUCCUCAAGGCUAGAAUUCAGAAGUUUGAAACAUGAAUUCUCAGAUGUAAAAUUUGCAUUUCACUUGAAAAUUACUAUGAUUUUUUUUUUUUUUUUUUUUUUUAAAUAUUUGUUUUGAAAUACGUUUUGCUUCUGUAUGCUCAGUACUUUGUUAACUGAUUAAUAAAACUGAAUGUUUUCUUUCACUGGUAAGUUUUCUUAUUUAACACUUCUG